rnacentral:lncRNA from 1 species
AUAAUUAUCAACCUCCUCCACCUCUUGAAUGUCAUCCUCUUCACCGUCUUAUCUCCCAACACAUAACAGAAUUUAAAAGACUGAACCCUCAUCACUUCGACGGCAGUCCGAAUCCCAUGGUGACUGAAGUUUGGACCCAAGAAAUGGAUAAGUUCUUCAAAGUAUUAGAUGUGAUUAAAGAGUAGAAGGUUUCCUUGGCUACUUUUAUGUUUACUGGAGAAGUGGGUCAUU